rnacentral:miRNA from 1 species
UCUCCCAUGGCUGUAUAACCC